rnacentral:rRNA from 1 species
AAACUAACAAGGAUUCCCUUAGUAACGGCGAGUGAACCGGGAAGAGCUCAAAUUUGUAAUCUGGCUGUCUUCGAUAGUCCGAGUUGUAAUCUAUAGACGUGUUUUCCGUGCUGGACCGUAUCUAAGUCCCUUGGAACAGGGUAUCAAAGAGGGUGAUAAUCCCGUGCUUGAUACGACCACCAGUGCUCUGUGAUACACGCUCUAC